rnacentral:rRNA from 1 species
CCUACGGGACGCAGCAGUAGGGAAUCUUCCACAAUGGGCGGAAGCCUGAUGGAGCAACGCCGCGUGGGUGAAGAAGGUCUUCGGAUCGUAAAACCCUUUUGUUAGAGAAGAAAGUGCGUGAGAGUAACUGUUCACGUUUCGACGGUAUCUAACCAGAAAGCCACGGCUAACUCCGUGCCAGCAGCCGCGGUAAUACGUAGGUGGCAAGCGUUAUCCGGAUUUAUUGGGCGUAAAGGGAGCGCAGGCGGUCUUUUAAGUCUGAUGUGAAAGCCUUCGGCUUAAC